GGGGUAAAGUCCCGUAACGAGGGGCAAACCUUUUCUCUUAGUUACCAACCCGUUAUGGUGGGCACUCUUAAGGAAGACUGCCCGGUACAAAACCGGAGGAAAGUGGGGAUGACCUCCAAGUCAUCAUGGCCCUUACGGCCUGGGCUUCACACGUGCUACAAUGGUCGGUACAGAGAGUGGCCAACUCGCGAGGGGGAGCUAAUCUCACAAAACCGAUCGUAGUCCGGAUCGCAGUUUGCAACUCGACUGCAUGAUGUCGGAAUGGAGAUAAUCGUGUAUCAGAAGUUCGCG
rnacentral:rRNA from 1 species